CGUAGAAAUCUAAACGUCACGUGGAUGACGGUACAUCGUCGACGUUACGUGUUUGUCCAAAAGUGGAGGGUGCCACGUGUUACUUGAUAUGUGACUCAGGUUUCUAAAUUCAAUUCUGAUGGAUGGAUUGAACGGACUUGUUUACAUGACCGGUUAGGCUAGGUCAGUAGGUAGAGCGCUGGAGUACACAUCCGGGUAGACUAGGUCAGUAGUAAGAGCGCUGGAGUACACAUCGGGGAAGGCCAGAUCAGAAGUUAGAGCGCUGUAGUUCAAAUCCGGAUAGGCUAGGUCAGUAGGUAGAACGCUGGAGUACACAUCCGGGUAGGCUAGGUUAGAAGGUAGAGCGCUGGAGUACACAUCCGGUUAGGCUAGAUCAGUAAGUAGAACGCUGGAGUACACAUCCGGGUAGGCCAGAUCAGUAGUUAGAGCGCUGGAUAACACAUCCGGGUAGGCUAGGUCAGUAGGUAGAACGCUGGAGUACACAUCCGGGUAGGCUAGGUCUGUAGGCAGAGCGCUGGAGUACACAUCCGGGUAGACUAGAUCAGUAAGUAGAACGCUGGAGAACACAUCCGGGUAGGCUAGGUCAGUAGAUAGAGCGCUGGAGUACACAUCCGGGUAGGCUAGGUCAGUAGAUAGAGCGCUGGAGUACACAUCCGGGUAGGCUAGGUCAGUAGAUAGAGCGCUGGAGUACACAUCCGGGUAGGCUAGGUCAGUAGGUAGAGCGCUGGAGUACACAUCCGGGUAGGCUAGGUCAGUAGGUAUAGCGCUGGAGUACACAUCCGGGUAGGCUAGGUCAGUAGUUAGAGCGCUGGAGUACACAUCCGGGUAGGCUAUGUCUGUAGGUAGAGCGCUGGAGUACACAUCCGGGUAGGCUAGGUCAGUAGAUAGACCGCUGGAGUACACAUCCGGGUAGGCUUGGUCAGUAGGUAGAGCGCUUGAGUACACAUCCGGGUAGGCUAGGUCAGUAGGUAGAGCGCUGGAGUACACAUCCGGGUAGGCUAGGUCAGUAGAUAGAGCGCUGGAGUACACAUCCGGGUAGGCUUGGUCAGUAGUUAGAGCGCUGGAGUUCACAUCCUGGUAGGCUAGAUCAGUAGGUUGAACGCUGGAGUACACAUCCGGGUAGGCUAGGUCAAUCGGUAGAGCGCUGGAGUACACAUCCGGGUAGGCUAGAUCAGUGGAUAGAAUGCUGGAGUACACAUUGGAGGAUCUCGGGUUCAAGUUCCGGCUUAGCCACAUAAGUUGUGAUGGGAUUGGUCGUGCACUAAGUUCUUCGACCAUUCUUCCCCUACCUCUCGUUAAAAUAAAGCAGUUGUAAGUUACUGAUAAAAGCUCUUUUAACUAGCAUAGCGUUAAAAAUGCGGCAUUGAUUUCAAACGUUGAGUUGUGCCUAAGAUCUUUCGUACAAAUGGUCACGGCUUUUGUCCCCGGGGUAGGCAAACUUUUGUAUUUAAAUGGUUUUCCUUGUGAUUAUAAUUAUUUAAAACUAUCUUACACAUAAAAUGUUAAAAUGUUAUUAGAUAAUACUUUAAACACAUGAAAAUCUUCAAACAAGAUUCGUUAAGCGUCAGAUUUUUUACAUUGAGUAGCGGGAAAUAUUAUUGUACAACAUGCAGUUUCUUUUACGUUUCGAAAUAUUCAUGAAAUGUUGCAUUAAUUUUAAUUGUUCAAUUACCUUAACAUGUAUAACUGUUGUGUUUUGUAUGUCUUC